rnacentral:piRNA from 3 species
UGAACCGGCCCAGGUCGGAAACGGA